UACAGAGGUCCCAAGCGUUGUUCGGAUUCACUGGGCGUAAAGGGUGCGUAGGCGGUCGGGUAAGUCUGAUGUGAAAUCUCACAGCUUAACUGUGAAACUGCAUUGGAUACUAUCCGGCUAGAGGAAUGGAGGGGAGACUGGAAUACUUGGUGUAGCAGUGAAAUGCGUAGAUAUCGAGAGGAACACCAGUGGCGAAGGCGAGUCCCUGGACAACACCUGACACUGAGGCACGAAAGCUAGGGGAGCAAACAGG
rnacentral:rRNA from 1 species